AUGUUGGCAUGGUCGUCCUCGCCUUUUACGACGACUCCCCGUCGCCUUCCCCUUCCCCGCGCCACCCUCUCGGCCACCGCCGCCGCCGCAGGGUCCAGGCAUGCUCUCCUCUCGCGCGGCCCCUCCUCCUCCCUCUCCUACGCCUCCUGCCGCCUAGCGCCCGCGGGGCCCCUACGCGUCCGGCUGCCGCCCCGCGCGGCGACGCGGGCCCUCUCCGCGACCGCGUCCCUGGCCGCCACAACGACCAUCACGGUCGGCGAGCGGCUCCCCGACGCGACGCUCUCCUACUUUGACUCCCCUGACGGCGAGCUGAAGAUGGUGACGGUCCGCGACCGCACCGCAGGGAAGAAUGUGGUCCUGUUCGCGGUCCAGGGCGCGUUCACGCCCACCUGCGUCCAGAAGCAUCUCCCGGGGUUCUUAGCCAGGGCCGGGGAGCUGCGCGCCAAGGGGGUGGACGCCGUGGCCUGCGUUUCCGUCAACGACGCCUUCUUGAUGCGACGAGGUGCUGCUGCUCUCGGACGGCAACGGGGAGCUGACGCGCGCCAUGGGCAUGGAGCUGGACCUGUCGGACAAGCCGGUGAGGCUCGGCGUCCGGUCGUGCCGCUCGGCCGUGAGGCUAGCAACGGAGGGUACUGUUGGCGUGCUCCAGCGAGCCUAGCUUCGCAGGAUUCCCACUUAACAGGGAGCAGGAGGAGGAAGAAGAAGGUCGCCGGUGCCACGGGCUGCCGCUGCUCACUGGCGUCGACACGUCUGCACGAUGGUGCUGCCCGAUGCACAUAA
rnacentral:rRNA from 1 species